UGGGGAAUUUUGCACAAUGGGGGAAACCCUGAUGCAGCGACGCCGCGUGAUUUAGAAGGCCUUCGGGUUGUAAAAAUCUUUUCUAUGGGAAGAAAAUGACAGUACCAUAGGAAUAAGGACCGGCUAAUUACGUGCCAGCAGCCGCGGUAAUACGUAAGGUCCGAGCGUUGUCCGGAAUCAUUGGGCGUAAAGGGUACGUAGGCGGCCCAGUAAGUUAGAAGUGAAAUAAUAUAGCUCAACUAUAUAAAGCUUUUAAAACUGCUAGGCUUGAGAGAUGGAAGGGAAAGUGGAAUUCCUAGUGUAGCGGUGAAAUGCGCAGAUAUUAGGAAGAAUACCGGUGGCGAAGGCGACUUUCUGGUCAUAAUCUGACGCUGAGGUACGAAAGCGUGGGUAGCAAACAGG
rnacentral:rRNA from 1 species